rnacentral:rRNA from 1 species
GACGAACGCUGGCGGCGUGCUUAACACAUGCAAGUCGAACGGAAAGGCCCUGCUUUUGCGGGGUGCUCGAGUGGCGAACGGGUGAGUAACACGUGAGUAACCUGCCCUUGACUUUGGGAUAACUUCAUGAAACUGGGGCUAAUACCGGAUAGGAGCUCCUGCUUCAUGGUGGGGGUUGGAAAGUUUCGGCGGUUGGGGAUGGACUCGCGGCUUAUCAGCUUGUUGGUGGGGUAGUGGUUUACCAAGGCUUUGACGGGUAGCCGGCCUGAGAGGGUGACCGGCCACAUUGGGACUGAGAUACGGCCCAGCCUCCUACGGGAGGCAGCAGUGGGGAAUAGUGCACAAUGGGCGGAAGCCUGAUGCAGCCACGCCGCGUGCGGGAUGACGGCCUUCGGGUUGUAAACCGCUUUCGCCUGUGACGAAGCGUGAGUGACGGUAAUGGGUAAAGAAGCACCGGCUAACUACGUG